AUGAGGCUUUCUGAAUUCAUGGCUUCUUCUUUAAUCUUUUUACUCUUAUUGUUAACUGUCUCGGCUGAACAAUGUGGUAGGCAGGCAGGAGGUGGAGGUGCGCGUUGUGCUGCGGGACUCUGUUGCAGUAAUUUUGGCUGGUGUGGUUACACUGAUGCCCAUUGUGCUCCCAGCAAUUGCCAGAGCCAGUGUCCUUCUCCGAAACCACCUACACCUGGCCCCGGUCCUCCUGUUGGAGACAUAGGCGCCGUCAUCUCACAUUCCAUGUUUGAUCAGAUGCUUAAGCAUCGCAACGAAAAUUCUUGCCAAGGAAAGAAUAAUUUCUAUAGUUACAAUGCAUUCAUCAAUGCUGCCAGGUCUUUUCGUGGCUUUGACACUACUGGUUAUACCACCACCCGAAAAAGGGAAAUCGCUGCUUUCUUUGCCCAAACCUCCCAUGAAACUACUGGAGGAUGGCCUUCAGCACCAGAUGGACCAUACGCAUGGGGUUACUGUUUCCUUAGAGAACUAGGUAGCCGGGCACCUACUGUAGACCAAGUGGUCAAUGGCCUUGUGCUCGUGGAAGGAAAUAUUUCGGACGAGGCCCCAUCCAAAUUUCAUACAACUACAACUAUGGGCCAUGUGGAAGAGCCAUUGGAGUGGACCUUUUAAACAACCCUGAUUUAGUAGCCACAGAUCCAGUUAUCUCAUUCAAAUCAGCUAUCUGGUUCUGGAUGACCCCUCAAUCACCAAAGCCUUCUUGCCACAAUGUCAUCACCGGAAGAUGGCAACCAUCUGGUGCUGACAGAGCAGCCAAUCGCCUCCCUGGAUUCGGUGUCAUCACAAACAUCAUCAAUGGUGGCCUAGAAUGUGGUCGUGGCAGUGACAGCAGGGUCCAGAAUCGAAUUGGGUUCUACAGGAGAUAUUGCAAAAUUCUUGGAGUUAGCCCAGGCUACAAUCUUGAUUGUGGCAACCAAAGGUCUUUUGGAAAUGGACUCUUAGUCGAUUCUAUGUAACAACUUUACCAUCUGUUUGUUGUAGUCUCUUGCAUCAACGCAGGACCCAGCUAUGAAUAAAUUUACUUAUGUAAUUGUGUUGUAAUCGUUUUUCAUUUUAAUAAACAAAGACUUUGUCCACGA